UAUAAGGUGGUGGUCAUGGAUCUUGGGAACUAUUUUGCCAGAUCACCCUGAGAAGAGGAGGCAGGUUCCAGAGAUCCCUGGGAGGAAGAGACCAGUAACAGGUCCCUGGACGGUGUGCAGCUGUUGGUCUGUAACUCGCCAAUGGACAUCGAGCUGACCCCCAACCGUCACGGCCGCGCGGCCCAGGUACCGCUACCUGCUGGCCUCGGCCGCGGACACCUUCUUCUUCACGCUCUUCCAGUUCCUCCCCACGGCGCUCACCGACGCCGUGAUGACCUUCAGCUCCGUGUCCGCCACGCUGUACGCCGGGGAGGUUGCGCAAUAACGCGUUCGGUGUUUUCUGUCCCUUUUGUAUGAGUGCGCGUUUGUUCCGGUGACCGUAAGAGUUGUUUUACACUGUUGUUCUCUCCUGUAAUAAAUGUGUUUACGUUCA